UAUUGGUCAAUGGGAGAAAUCCUGAACCAGCAACGCCGCGUGAAGGACGAAGGGCUUUUAGCUUGUAAACAUCUUUUUUGAGGGAAAAAUAUACGAUUACUUCGUGUUGAUUGUACCUUGAGAAUAAGCCCCGGCUAACUACGUGCCAGCAGCCGCGGUAAUACGGAGGGUGCAAGCGUUAAUCGGAAUUACUGGGCGUAAAGCGCACGUAGGCGGCUUACUAAGUCGGAUGUGAAAGCCCCGGGCUCAACCUGGGAAUUGCCUUCGAUACUGGUAAGCUAGAGUGCAAGAGAGGGUGGUGGAAUUUCUAGUGUAGCGGUGAAAUGCGUAGAUAUUAGAAGGAACAUCAGUGGCGAAGGCGGCCACCUGGCUUGACACUGACGCUGAGGUGCGAAAGCGUGGGGAGCAAACAG
rnacentral:rRNA from 1 species